rnacentral:lncRNA from 1 species
AUUAAAGAGAUUCGAUAGAGUACCGCGUCCGUCGGAUAGAUACUUCGAUUUCUAGUUUCAGGAUGUGAUCCUGUUGAACUCGAUGAGAACAACAAGGAUCUGAUCAUCUACAUGGAUGCCAUGUAGAGGUCCGACUCAGAUUAGUGGCUUGGAGCCAUAAAGUUCGAAAUAGAAUCUGUGAAGGUCAACAGUGUAUAGACACUCGUUGAUCCACUCGAAAGGGUAAAACCCAUAGAGUCUAAGUAGAUCUUCAAUAGGAUCAGAGUGACGCAGAUGAGAAGGUGAAGACCUACAAAGCCCGUCUGGUUGUCUAAGGAUAUUAUCAACGUUAUAGUAUUGACC